GAUUCUUCUGUGGUUGCCACGU
rnacentral:miRNA from 1 species